rnacentral:rRNA from 1 species
CCUACGGGAGACAGCAGUGAGGAAUAUUGGUCAAUGGACGAGAGUCUGAACCAGCCAAGUAGCGUGAAGGAUGACUGCCCUAUGGGUUGUAAACUUCUUUUAUAUGGGAAUAAAAUGUUCCACGUUUGGGAUUUUGUAUGUACCAUAUGAAUAAGGAUCGGCUAACUCCGUGCCAGCAGCCGCGGUAAUACGGAGGAUCCGAGCGUUAUCCGGAUUUAUUGGGUUUAAAGGGAGCGUAGGUGGAUUGUUAAGUCAGUUGUGAAAGUUUGCGGCUCAACCGUAAAAUUGCAGUUGAAACUGGCAGUCUUGAGUACAGUAGAGGUGGGCGGAAUUCGUGGUGUAGCGGUGAAAUGCUUAGAUAUCACGAAGAACUCCGAUUGCGAAGGCAGUUCACUGGACUGCAACUGACACUGAGGCUCGAAAGUGUGGGUAUCAAACAGGAUUAGAUACCCCAGUAGUC